rnacentral:piRNA from 1 species
UAAAAUUGUCUUCCUUCUGGCCCCACUCUU